rnacentral:rRNA from 1 species
CUACGGGGCGCACCAGUGAGGAAUAUUGCACAAUAGGGGGAACCCUGAUGCAGCAACGCCGCGUGGAGGAUGACGCAUUUCGGUGUGUAAACUCCUUUUAUAUGUCAAGAAAAUGACGGUAGCAUAUGAAUAAGCACCGGCUAACUCCGUGCCAGCAGCCGCGGUAAUACGGAGGGUGCAAGCGUUACUCGGAAUCACUGGGCGUAAAGGACGCGUAGGCGGGUUGGAAAGUCAGGUGUGAAAUCCUACAGCUUAACUGUAGAACUGCACUUGAAACUUCUAAUCUAGAGUAUGGGAGGGGGAGAUGGAAUUAGUGGUGUAGGGGUAAAAUCCGUAGAUAUCACUAGGAAUACCUAAAGCGAAGGCGAUCUCCUGGAACAUUACUGACGCUAAGGCGUGAAAGCGUGGGGAGCAAACAGGAUUAGAUACCCUAGUAGUC